UACGUAGGGGGGCGAGCGUUGUCCGGAAUCAUUGGGCGUAAAGCGCGUGUAGGCGGCUCGAUAAGUCCGCUCUGAAAAGUCCAGGGCUCAACCCUGGGAUGCGGGUGGAUACUGUCGGGCUCGAGUCCGGAAGAGGCGAGUGGGAAUUCCCGGUGUAGCGGUGAAAUGCGCAGAUAUCGGGAGGAACACCAAUGGCGAAGGCAGCUCGCUGGGACGUGACUGACGCUGAGACGCGAAAGCGUGGGGAGCAAACAGGG
rnacentral:rRNA from 1 species